UACGUAGGGGGCAAGCGUUGUCCGGAUUUAUUGGGCGUAAAGAGCGUGUAGGCGGCCAAGGAGGUCCGUUGUGAAAACUCGAGGCUCAACCUCGAGACGCCGAUGGAAACCCCCUGGCUAGAGUCCGGAAGAGGAGAGUGGAAUUCCUGGUGUAGCGGUGAAAUGCGCAGAUAUCAGGAAGAACACCCGUGGCUAAGGCGGCUCUCUAGUACGGUACUGACGCUGAGACGCGAAAGCGUGGGGAGCGAACAGG
rnacentral:rRNA from 1 species